rnacentral:rRNA from 1 species
UACGAAGGGGGCUAGCGUUGCUCGGAAUCACUGGGCGUAAAGGGUGCGUAGGCGGGUCUUUAAGUCGGGUGUGAAAUCUUGGAGCUUAACUCCGAAACUGCAUUCGAUACUGCGGUGCUUGAGGACUGGAGAGGAGACUGGAAUUCAUGGUGUAGCAGUGAAAUGCGUAGAGAUCAUGAGGAAGACCAGUGGCGAAGGCGGGUCUCUGGACAGUUCCUGACACUGAGACACGAAGGCCAGGGGAGCAAACGGG